AUUGAACGCUGGCGGCAUGCUUUACACAUGCAAGUCGAACGGCAGCGCGGGCUUCGGCCUGGCGGCGAGUGGCGAACGGGUGAGUAAUGCAUCGGAACGUGCCCAGUAGUGGGGGAUAGCCCGGCGAAAGCCGGAUUAAUACCGCAUACGACCUGAUGGUGAAAGCGGGGGACCGAAAGGCCUCGCGCUAUUGGAGGGGCCGAUGUCGGAUUAGCUAGUUGGUGGGGUAAAGGCUUACCAAGGCGACGAUCCGUAGCUGGUCUGAGAGGACGACCAGCCACACUGGAACUGAGACACGGCCCAGACUCCUACGGGAGGCAGCAGUGGGGAAUUUUGGACAAUGGGGGCAACCCUGAUCCAGCCAUGCCGCGUGCGGGAAGAAGGCCUUCGGGUUGUAAACCGCUUUUGUUCGGGAAGAAAUCCUCUGGGCUAAUACCCCGGGGGGAUGACGGUACCGGAAGAAUAAGCACCGGCUAACUACGUG
rnacentral:rRNA from 1 species